rnacentral:rRNA from 1 species
UACGUAGGGUGCAAGCGUUUAAUCGGAAUUACUGGGCGUAAAGCGUGCGCAGGCGGCUUUGCAAGACAGAUGUGAAAUCCCCGGGCUUAACCUGGGAACUGCAUUUGUGACUGCAUGGGCUCGAGUACGGUAGAGGGGGAUGGAAUUCCGCGUGUAGCAGUGAAAUGCGUAGAUAUGCGGAGGAACACCGAUGGCGAAGGCAGUCCCCUGGACCUGUACUGACGCUCAUGCACGAAAGCGGUGGGGAGCAAACGAGG